rnacentral:rRNA from 1 species
UACAGAGGUCCCAAGCGCUGUUCGGAUUCAUUGGGCGUAAAGGGUGCGUAGGUGGCGUCGUAAGUCGGGUGUGAAAUCUCGGGGCUUAACUCCGAAACUGCAUUCGAUACUGCGGUGCUUGAGGACUGGAGAGGAGACUGGAAUUUACGGUGUAGCAGUGAAAUGCGUAGAGAUCGUAAGGAAGACCAGUGGCGAAGGCGGGUCUCUGGACAGUUCCUGACACUGAGGCACGAAGGCCAGGGGAGCAAACGGG